GAUGAACGCUGGCGGCGUGCCUAACACAUGCAAGUCGAGCGAAGCGGGGACGGGUGAGUGACACGUGGAUAACCUCCUAUAUGACUGGGAUAACUUCGGGGAACCGGAGAUAAACCCGAUACUUAUAGAUGGAUCCGCGCUGCAUUAGCUAGUUGGGAAGGUAACGGCUUACCAAGGCAACUAUGCCUAGCCGACCUGAGAGGAUGACCGGCCACACUGGAACUGAGACACGGUCCAGACUCCUACGUGAGGCAGCAGUAGGGAAUCUUCCGCAAUGGGCGCAAGCCUGACGGAGCAACGCCGCGUGAAUGAUGAAGGUCUUCGGAUCGUAAAAUUCUGUUAUUAGGGAAGCGGUACCUAAUCAGAAAGCCACGGCUAACUACGUGCCAGCAGCCGCGGUAAUUC
rnacentral:rRNA from 1 species